rnacentral:rRNA from 1 species
GCGUGGCGGGUGCUAUACAUGCAGUCGAGCGGACGGAUGGGAGCUUGCUCCCUGAAGUCAGCGGCGGACGGGUGAGUAACACGUGGGCAACCUGCCUGUAAGACUGGGAUAACUCCGGGAAACCGGGGCUAAUACCGGAUAACUCUUUUCCUCACAUGAGGAAAAGCUGAAAGAUGGUUUCGGCUAUCACUUACAGAUGGGCCCGCGGCGCAUUAGCUAGUUGGUGAGGUAACGGCUCACCAAGGCCACGAUGCGUAGCCGACCUGAGAGGGUGAUCGGCCACACUGGGACUGAGACACGGCCCAGACUCCUACGGGAGGCAGCAGUAGGGAAUCUUCCGCAAUGGACGAAAGUCUGACGGAGCAACGCCGCGUGAGUGAUGAAGGUUUUCGGAUCGUAAAACUCUGUUGUCAGGGAAGAACAAGUACCGGAGUAACUGCCGGUACCUUGACGGUACCUGACCAGAAAGCCACGGCUAACUACGUGCCAGCAGCCGCGGUAAU